GAUGAACGCUGGCGGCGUGCCUAAUACAUGCAAGUCGAGCGAACCUCUUCGGAGGUUAGCGGCGGACGGGUGAGUAACACGUGGGCAACCUACCUUGUAGAUGGGGAUAACAUCGAGAAAUCGGUGCUAAUACUGAAUAACACUUUUCUCCACAUGGAGAAAAGUUAAAAGUUGGCUUUUGCUAACACUACAAGAUGGGCCCGCGGCGCAUUAGCUAGUUGGUGAGGUAACGGCUCACCAAGGCGACGAUGCGUAGCCGACCUGAGAGGGUGAUCGGCCACACGGGGACGGAGACACGGCCCAGACUCCUACGGGAGGCAGCAGUAGGGAAUCUUCCGCAAUGGACGAAAGUCUGACGGAGCAACGCCGCGUGAGUGAUGAAGGCCUUCGGGUCGUAAAACUCUGUUGUUAGGGAAGAACAAGUACCGUUCGAAUAGGGCGGUACCGUGACGGUACCUAACCAGAAAGCCACGGCUAACUACGUGCCAGCCGCCGCCGUAA
rnacentral:rRNA from 1 species